UCAGUGGCGAACGGGUGAGUAACACGUGAGUAACCUGCCCCAGACUCUGGGAUAACCCCGGGAAACCGGAGCUAAUACCGGAUAUGACACCAACCUGCAUGGGUAUGGUGUGGAAAGUUUUUCGGUCUGGGAUGGACUCGCGGCCUAUCAGCUUGUUGGUGAGGUAAUGGCUCACCAAGGCGACGACGGGUAGCCGGCCUGAGAGGGCGACCGGCCACACUGGGACUGAGACACGGCCCAGACUCCUACGGGAGGCAGCAGUGGGGAAUAUUGCACAAUGGGCGAAAGCCUGAUGCAGCGACGCCGCGUGAGGGAUGACGGCCUUCGGGUUGUAAACCUCUUUCAGCAGGGAAGAAGCGCAAGUGACGGUACCUGCAGAAGAAGCACCGGCUAACUACGUGCCAGCAGCCGCGGUAAUACGUAGGGUGCGAGCGUUGUCCGGAAUUAUUGGGCGUAAAGAGCUUGUAGGUGGUUUGUCGCGUCUGCUGUGAAAAUCCGAGGCUCAACCUCGGACUUGCAGUGGGUACGGGCAGACUAGAGUGUGGUAGGGGAGACUGGAAUUCCUGGUGUAGCGGUGGAAUGCGCAGAUAUCAGGAGGAACACCGAUGGCGAAGGCAGGUCUCUGGGCCAUUACUGACACU
rnacentral:rRNA from 1 species